AUUGAACGCUGGCGGCAUGCCUAACACAUGCAAGUCGAACGCGAAAGGUCCUUCGGGGCCGAGUAGAGUGGCGGACGGGUGAGUAACGCGUGGGAAUCUGCCCAGUAGUGGGGGAUAACUCGGGGAAACUCGAGCUAAUACCGCAUACGCCCUACGGGGGAAAGGCUUCGGCCGCUAUUGGAUGAGCCCGCGUCAGAUUAGCUAGUUGGUAGGGUAAUGGCCUACCAAGGCGACGAUCUGUAGCUGGUCUGAGAGGACGAACAGCCACACUGGGACUGAGACACGGCCCAGACUCCUACGGGAGGCAGCAGUGGGGAAUAUUGGACAAUGGGCGAAAGCCUGAUCCAGCAAUGCCGCGUGUGUGAAGAAGGCCUGCGGGUUGUAA
rnacentral:rRNA from 1 species